rnacentral:lncRNA from 1 species
ACAUCUGAUUAGCAGAAUCAGAUGUUCCAGCUUGGACUCAUGAAGGAUUAAAAAUCUGCAUCUUCCACUAUUUUCAAUGUAUUAAGAGAAAUAAGUGCAGCAUUUUUGCAUCUGAUAUUUUACCUAAAAAAAAAAGACCAAAUUUGGCGGAGGGGUGGAGUGUGAAAAAAAUCUCUUGAGAGAUUUAGAAUAUCUUUUCUUUUGCUCAUCUUAGA